rnacentral:rRNA from 1 species
GACGAACGCUGGCGGCGUGCCUAAUACAUGCAAGUUGAACGCAACAAAGACACCAGAGCUUGCUCUACCGUCUUUGUUGAGUAGCGAACGGGUGAGUAACGCGUGGGUAACCUGCCUUAUAGCGGGGGAUAACUAUUGGAAACGAUAGCUAAUACCGCAUAACAAUAGAGAUUGCAUAAUCUUUAUUUGAAAGUGCCAACUGGUACACUAUGAGAUGGACCCGCGUUGUAUUAGCUAGUUGGUAGUGUAAUGGACUACCAAGGCGAUGAUACAUAGCCGACCUGAGAGGGUGAUCGGCCACAUUGGGACUGAGACACGGCCCAAACUCCUGCGGGAGGCAGCAGUAGGGAAUCUUCGGGCAAAUGGACGAAAGUCUGACCGAGCAAACGCCGCGUGAGUGAAGAAGGUUUUCGGAUCGUAAAACUCUGUUGUUAGAGAAGAAUGUUGAUUAGAGUGGAAAUUAAUCAAGUGACGGUAUCUAACCAGAAA